rnacentral:rRNA from 1 species
GGCGAACGCUGGCGGCGUGCUUAACACAUGCAAGUCGAACGGAAAGGCCCUGCUUUUGUGGGGUGCUCGAGUGGCGAACGGGUGAGUAACACGUGAGUAACCUGCCCUUGACUUUGGGAUAACUUCAGGAAACUGGGGCUGAUACCGGAUAGGAGCUCCUGCUGCAUGGUGGGGGUUGGAAAGUUUCGGCGGUUGGGGAUGGACUCGCGGCUUAUCAGCUUGUUGGUGGGGUAGUGGCUUACCAAGGCUUUGACGGGUAGCCGGCCUGAGAGGGUGACCGGCCACAUUGGGACUGAGAUACGGCCCAGACUCCUACGGGAGGCAGCAGUGGGGAAUAUUGCACAAUGGGCGGAAGCCUGAUGCAGCAACGCCGCGUGCGGGAUGACGGCCUUCGGGUUGUAAACCGCUUUCGCCUGUGACGAAGCGUGAGUGACGGUAAUGGGUAAAGAAGCACCGGCUAACUACGUG